rnacentral:rRNA from 1 species
GAUGAACGCUGGCGGCGUGCCUAAUACAUGCAAGUCGAGCGAACGGACGAGAAGCUUGCUUCUCUGAUGUUAGCGGCGGACGGGUGAGUAACACGUGGAUAACCUACCUAUAAGACUGGGAUAACUUCGGGAAACCGGAGCUAAUACCGGAUAAUAUUUUGAACCGCAUGGUUCAAAAGUUAAAGACGGUCUUGCUGUCACUUAUAGAUGGAUCCGCGCUGCAUUAGCUAGUUGGUAAGGUAACGGCUUACCAAGGCAACGAUGCAUAGCCGACCUGAGAGGGUGAUCGGCCACACUGGAACUGAGACACGGUCCAGACUCCUACGGGAGGCAGCAGUAGGGAAUCUUCCGCAAAGGGCGAAAGCCUGACGGAGCAACGCCGCGUGAGUGAUGAAGGUCUUCGGAUCGUAAAACUCUGUUAUUAGGGAAGAACAGAUGUGUAAGUAACUGUGCACAUCUUGACGGUACCUAAUCAGAAAGCAACGGCUAACUACGUG